rnacentral:rRNA from 1 species
AUUGAACGCUGGCGGAAUGCUUUACACAUGCAAGUCGAACGAUGAACCUUAGCUUGCUAAGGGGAUUAGUGGCGAACGGGUGAGUAAUGUAUCGGAACGUAUCCAAUAAUGGGGGAUAACUAGUCGAAAGAUUAGCUAAUACCGCAUACGUCCUACGGGAGAAAGCUAGGGACCUUCGGGCCUGGCGUUAAUGGAGCGGCCGAUAUCUGAUUAGCUAGUUGGUGGGGUAAAGGCUCACCAAGGCGACGAUCAGUAGCUGGUCUGAGAGGACGACCAGCACACUGGAACUGAGACACGGUCCAGACUCCUACGGGAGGCAGCAGUGGGGAAUUUUGGACAAUGGGCGAAAGCCUGAUCCGGCCAUUCCGCGUGAGUGAAGAAGGCCUUCGGGUUGUAAAGCUCUUUCGCAAGGGAAGAAAACUUAAGCUCUAACAUAGCCUGAGGUUGACGGUACCUUGAUAAGAAGCACCGGCUAACUACGUGCCAGCCGCCGCCGUAA